ACGGAGGGUGCAAGCGUUAUUCGGAUUUAUUGGGCGUAAAGGGCGCGUAGGCGGCUUUUUAAGUCAGAUGUGAAAUCCCGGGGCUUAACCUCGGAAGUGCAUUUGAAACUGGGAAGCUUGAGUAUGGGAGAGGGAAACGGAAUUCCUGGUGUAGCGGUGAAAUGCGUAGAUAUCAGGGGGAACACCGGUGGCGAAAGCGUUUUCCCGGACCAAUUCUGGCGCUGAGGCGCGAAGGCGCGGGGAUCAAACAG
rnacentral:rRNA from 1 species